rnacentral:rRNA from 1 species
GACGAACGCUGGCGGCGUGCUUAACACAUGCAAGUCGAACGGAAAGGCCCUGCUUUUGUGGGGUGCUCGAUUGGCGAACGGGUGAGUAACACGUGAGUAACCUGCCCUUGACUUUGGGAUAACUUCAGGAAACUGGGGCUAAUACCGGAUAUGAGCUCCUGCUGCAUGGUGGGGGUUGGAAAGUUUCGGCGGUUGGGGGUGGACUCGCGGCUUAUCAGCUUGUUGGUGAGGUAGUGGCUUACCAAGGCUUUGACGGGUAGCCGGCCUGAGAGGGGGACCGGCCACAUUGGGACUAAGAUACGGACCAGACGCCUACGGGAGGCAGCAGUCGGGAGUAUUGCACAAUGGGCGGAAGCCUGAUGCAGAAACGCCGCGUGCGGGAUGACGGCCUUCGGGUUGUGAACCGCUUUCGCAUGUGACGAAGCGUGAGUGACGGUAAUGGGUAAAGAAGCACCGGCUAACUACGUG